CGACCCCAAGUCAGGCGGGAUUACCCGCUGAUUUUAAGCAUAUCAAUAAGCGGAGGAAAAGAAACUUACUAGGAUUCCCCUAGUAACGGUGAGCGAACCGGGAAAAGCCCAACUUCAGAAUCGGUCGCCAUCGGCGUCUGAAUUGUAGUCUGUAGAAGCGUCCUCAGUGACGGACCAGGCCUAUUUCCCCUGGAAAGGGGCGCCGGAGAGGGUUAGAGCCCAGUCAUGCUCGGAUCCUGUCGCACCACGAGGCACUGUCUACGAGUUAGGUUGUUUGGGAAUGCAGCCCUAAUCGGGCGGUAAAUUCCGUCCAAGGCUAAAUACGGGCGAGAGACUGAUAGUGAACAAGUACCACGAGGGAAAGAUGAAAAGGACUUUGAAAAGAGUGUCAAAGAGUGCUUGAAAUCGUCAGGAGGGAAGCGGAUGGGGGAUGGUGAUGCACUGAUACGGCCACGCCUCAAGUCCUACCUAGCUCGAACAAGGAGCCGUUAGACUUGCCCCAAGGUCCCAUCACCCGAUCACGAGCUAAACAAUUCAAGGAUGCUGUUUCGGCUUUAGUUGACAAAGUUUGGGGUGAGAUCUUGGUUGGUCACAUCGAGGAAGCUUGGACCAACUCGAAAAGCAAUCCGUGCACUUUAAUACGAGCUGAAUUAACUUCCAUUUCAGCUCAAUGAGCUCGAAUUAGCUUAACUUCAGCUCAAACAUUUUCAAUUCAGCUCAAUAUCAACUAGACAUUAAUUUAAUAGCUGAAUAUUUAUUUAAGUCGAUUUAAUUAGUUUAUUACAGCUUUUUAAUAUGUUUGUUGCAUGUUUUUAAUAUGUCAAGUUUUAUUACAUGAUUUAAAGUUGCUUUAAUGCUGCCGAAUUUAAUGAGCUGAUUUUAGUGAUAUAGUUGACCGAAUUAAUGUUUCAUGGUUUUAAUAUUAAUUUUGUUCAGCUAAAUAUCAUAUUAAUUUUAGUUCUUCUUAUUUAUAUAGGUUAGCCAAAUGUGUGGGAUCAUUUAACAAGGUUAGCCGAAUUUGGAGAUUCAUUUUAGCAAGGUGCAUGCAUGUUAGAUACAUUGCAGUUGGAGAUACAUGCGUCAAAUUGGUGAGCUGAAUUCAACAUUCCUAGGUGACUAUUCGGCCAAGGGAGCUAAUGUUUCCAACUCCAAAGCUGCCCAUUAAUUCCUUUCACAUUUGCUGGAUGCAUCUUGUCUUUUCGGUUCCAUGUGUUCACACUCCAUGACUCUUCAAUGUUGAGCUUUCACACUUGAAUUGGCUGCUCAUUAUCCUCUUAAUUGCUGGUCACUUUUUAGCCAAAAGUUGCAACAUAAAUGAGCUAAUUUAUGCCCAUUGGCCGAACCUAGCUAUCCAUGCAUCAUCCAAGCUUUUCCAAGUCCAAUGCUUCAUCUAGAAGGUGUCUAAUGGAGCUCCAUGUUCAGCCGAAUCUAGCUAGUUCAUUUAAGUGAUUCAUUUGCUUAAUUUUUAAGGAAUGUAAGUGGCCAUUCGACUAGCUUAGGUGUUGCUUAUAAAUAGCUGAAAUUUUACUUUGUAAAGGACUUUUGACAUUUUAAGUAACGAAUUGCUGCCAAAUUUGUGAGGCAUUUUCUCUCAAAUUUCGUUCGAGACCCGUAAGACUUAUCUAGCUUCUAGUGGCAUCUUUCUGAGUCUUUCUUUCGAACUUAUCACUCCCUAAACCCGAGUGUAGCGUUCACCUUUGAUACCUUUGGUUCAUACUUUACUAAGUAUCGGGUCAAGGUCCUUAUCAACCAUUUCCAACUCAAUUUGGUCCUAUAAGUUUCGGGUCAACACUCUUCUUUAGUGUUGGUUCACUCUUAACCUUUUUGAACCAUUACCAUUUCGUACCAAAUCCCUUACCAUUUCGUACCAAUUCCCAAAUACCAAAACAUACCAAAACCAAAUACCAUUUCUUAAUUAAUCCUAAACCGAACUCAACCAUUCUAGUCAUACCAUUUAGACUUAAACCAAAUCCACAUCCAAAUUUGCACGGAUUUACUUUACUUCUUUGAACUCAAAUAUAUUCUAUCUUCUUCUUGUCUAGUAUACUUCUUCGUUUACGGUCGGGAACUAAACGAAUCGGGUUCAACUACUAAACCGAGAUCGUAUCAUGCACCUCGGUCGGAUGUGGAACGGAGAGAGCCGGUCCACCGAUCAGCUCGAGGCGUGGACCGAUGCGAGUCAUGGAGGCGGCCCAAGCUCGGGCCUAUGAUACGCCCAUGGAGACAUCGUUGCCUCGAUCGUGGGAUCAGCACGCGCCGUCUUGGCGUGCUUCGGCACCUUCGUGCUCUGGGCGUCGGCCUGCGGGCUCCCCAUUCAGCCCGUUUUGAAACACAGACCAAGGAGUCUGACAUGUGUGCAAGUCAAUGGGCUAGAAAACCCGUAAGGCGCAUGGAAGCUGACUAGCGGGAUCCCUCGCGGGCGCACCACCGAUCGACCUUGAUCUUCUGAGAAGGGUUCGAGUGAGAACAUGCCUUUCGAGACCUGAAAGAUGGUGAACUA
rfam:Gossypium raimondii Chr08_contig_438, whole genome shotgun sequence.